UACAUGUGGGGCAAGCGUUGUUCGGAAUUACUGGGCAUAAAGGGUGCGUAGGUGGCUUGUUAAGUCAGGGGUGAAAGUUUUCGGCCCAACCGGAAAUGGCCUUUGAUACUGGCGAGCUCGAGUGCGUGAGGGGUAACCGGAACGAGCAGUGUAGCGGUGAAAUGCGUAGAUAUUGCUCGGAAGGCCAACGGCGAAGGCAGGUUACUGGUGCGCAACUGACACUGAGGCACGAAAGCGUGGGGAGCAAACAGGG
rnacentral:rRNA from 1 species